GCGCACCAGGCGCGAAACCUUCGCAAUGCAGGAAACUGCGACGAGGGAACUCCAAGUGCCUACGCUCAGCGUAGGCUGUUCUCAAGCCUAGAAAGCUUGAGGAGUAAGGGCUGGGUAAGACGGGUGCCAUCUGUGGUAGCAGUCAAUAGAUUCGAUUUGUUACUGCAAGGCAUAAGCCGCCGCGGUAAUACCCGCAGCCCAAGUGGUGGCCGCUUUUAUUGGGCCUAAAGCGUCCGUAGCCGGCCCGGUAAAUGCC
rnacentral:rRNA from 1 species